GUUCACUUUGGGUGCCCACCGGCCAGAACUGGAAUAAGACAGAGAAGAUUAGCAUGGACUCUGCACAAGAAAGAUAUGCAAAUUUAUGGAUAAUUCCAUAUUUAA